GCUAGGCACAGUGGUAUGUACCUAUAAUCUCAGCUACUUGGGUGGCUGAGGUGGGAGGAUCACUUGAGCCCAGGAGUUCUGGGCUGUAGUGCACUAUGCAAAUCAGUUGGCUGCACUAGCUUUGGCAUCAAUAUGGUGACCUCCUGGGAGUGGGGGACCACCAGGUUGCCUAAGGAGGGGUACACUGGCCAAGAUCGAAAACAGAGCAGGUCAAAACUCCUCUGCUAACCAGUAGUGGGAUCGUGCCUGUAAAAAGGCGCGGCACUGUGGGCAACAUGGCAAGACCCUAUCACA
rnacentral:SRP_RNA from 1 species